GACAGAUCCCCAGAUCUGUUCGUGGCGGACACCGCGCCGAGCGAGGCACAGCUCUCUUCCGGUGGCGGGCGUCCACAAACCACAGCCCUGCCCACAAGACCAGCAAGUUUCUCUAGCUCACAGUCCUACCCUGUCCCGGACUUCAGCUCCCCGCUGAAAUAGAGAAGGAGCGCCCUGUGCACAGCAUCAACUGAGGAUCCCUGGAAGAAGCAGCCGAGCUCGGAGGGACGGUAACAGGAAGCGGCAUCUGCCUACCCUGGUCAGGGCACCUCCGCUACUGUGCACUGAGAAAGGGAGUCCUGAGAGCGAGCACAGUCCUACGCUGGGCUCUCGGAGGACUACGUGUCGCUGAGGAACGGCAGUGUGUUCUGAAAUAAACGCAGCUCUCAGCCUCACACGUGACAGAUGGAUUGAGCGCCACCGAAAACCCGGAUGAACCCGGUAACAA